UACGGGGGGGGGCAAGCGUUGUUCGGAAUUACUGGGCGUAAAGCGUGCGUAGGUGGUUCGUUAAGUCUGAUGUGAAAGCCCUGGGCUCAACCUGGGAACUGCAUUGGAUACUGGCGAUCUGGAGUGCGGUAGAGGGUGGCGGAAUUCCCGGUGUAGCAGUGAAAUGCGUAGAUAUCGGGAGGAACAUCCGUGGCGAAGGCGGCCACCUGGACCAGCACUGACACUGAGGCACGAAAGCGUGGGGAGCAAACAGG
rnacentral:rRNA from 1 species